rnacentral:rRNA from 1 species
UUCGCAAUGCCCGAAAGGGUGACGAAGCGACGCCGCGUGGGUGAGGAAGGCCCUCGGGUUGUAAAGCCCUGUCAGGAGUUAAGAAAUGUAGGUACGCUAAUAUCGUAUCUAUUUGACAAAGGCUCCAAAGGAAGCCACGGCUAACUCUGUGCCAGCAGCCGCGGUAAUACAGAGGUGGCAAGCGUUGUUCGGAAUUAUAGGGCGUAAAGAGCACGUAGGUGGAUUUGUAAGUCAGAUGUGAAAGCCUUCUGUUCAACGGGAGAAUUGCAUCUGAAACUACAAACCUUGAGUAUAGGAGGGGAGAAUGGAACUUCUGGUGGAGCGGUGAAAUGCGUAGAUAUCAGAAGGAACGCCGGCGGCGAAAGCGAUUCUCUGGCCUAUUACUGACACUCAGUGUGCGAAAGCUAGGGGAGCAAACGGGAUUAGAUACCCCGGUAGUCCUAGCCGUAAACGAUGGGCACUAAGUAGAGGGGUUUU